rnacentral:rRNA from 1 species
UACGAAGGGGGCUAGCGUUGCUCGGAAUCACUGGGCGUAAAGCGCACGUAGGCGGUCUUUUAAGUCAGGGGUGAAAUCCUGGAGCUCAACUCCAGAACUGCCUUUGAUACUGAGAGACUUGAGUCCGGGAGAGGUGAGUGGAACUGCGAGUGUAGAGGUGAAAUUCGUAGAUAUUCGGAAGAACACCAGUGGCGAAGGCGGCUCACUGGUCCGGUACUGACGCUGAGGUGCGAAAGCGUGGGGAGCAAACAGG